rnacentral:rRNA from 1 species
AUACGGAGGGUGCAAGCGUUACUCGGAAUCACUGGGCGUAAAGCGCGCGCAGGCGGCUAUUUAAGUUGGAUGUGAAAGCCUACGGCUCAACCGUAGAACUGCAUCCAAAACUAUUUAGCUAGAGUGUGGGAGAGGAAGAUGGAAUUAGUUGUGUAGAGGUAAAAUCCGUAGAGAUAACUAGGAAUACCAAAAGCGAAGGCAAUCUUCUGGAACACUACUGACGCUGAGGCGCGAAAGCGUGGGGAGCAAACGGGAUUAGAAACCCUAGUAGUCC